rnacentral:rRNA from 1 species
AUUGAACGCUGGCGGCAGGCCUAACACAUGCAAGUCGAACGAGUGGCGGACGGGUGAGUAAUGUCUGGGAAACUGCCUGAUGGAGGGGGAUAACUACUGUAAACGGUAGCUAAUACCGCAUACCAUCCGAUGUUCCCAGAUGGGCUUAGCUUGUUGGUGGGGUAACGGCUCACCAAGGCGACGAUCCCUAGCUGGUCUGAGAGGAUGACCAGCCACAAUGGAACUGAGACACGGGCCAGACGCCUACGGGAGGCAGCAGUGGGGAAUAUUGCACAAGGGGCGCAAGCCUGAUGCAGCCAGGCCGCGUGUAUGAAGAAGGCCUUCGGGUUGUAAAGUACUUGCAGCGGGGAGGCGUUACCCGCAGAAGAAGCACCGGCUAACUCCGUGCCAGCAGCCGCGGUAAUUC